GACGAACGCUGGCGGCGUGCCUAAUACAUGCAAGUAGAACGCUGAAGCUUGGUGCUUGCACCGAGCGGAUGAGUUGCGAACGGGUGAGUAACGCGUAGGUAACCUGCCUGGUAGCGGGGGAUAACUAUUGGAAACGAUAGCUAAUACCGCAUAAGAGUAGAUGUUGCAUGACAUUUGCUUAAAAGGUGCAAUUGCAUCACUACCAGAUGGACCUGCGUUGUAUUAGCUAGUUGGUGAGGUAACGGCUCACCAAGGCAACGAUACAUAGCCGACCUGAGAGGGUGAUCGGCCACACUGGGACUGAGACACGGCCCAGACUCCUACGGGAGGCAGCAGUAGGGAAUCUUCGGCAAUGGACGGAAGUCUGACCGAGCAACGCCGCGUGAGGGAAGAAGGUUUUCGGAGCGUAAAGAUCUGUUGUAAGAGAAGAACGAGUGUGAGAGUGGAAAGUUCACACUGUGACGGUAUCUUACCAGAAAGGGACGGCUAACUACGUG
rnacentral:rRNA from 1 species